rnacentral:rRNA from 1 species
GACGAACGCUGGCGGCGUGCCUAAUACAUGCAAGUUGAGCGAUGAAGAUUGGUGCUUGCACCAAUUUGAAGAGCAGCGAACGGGUGAGUAACGCGUGGGGAAUCUGCCUUUGAGCGGGGGACAACAUUUGGAAACGAAUGCUAAUACCGCAUAACAACUUUAAACAUAAGUUUUAAGUUUGAAAGAUGCAAUUGCAUCACUCAAAGAUGAUCCCGCGUUGUAUUAGCUAGUUGGUGAGGUAAAGGCUCACCAAGGCGAUGAUACAUAGCCGACCUGAGAGGGUGAUCGGCCACAUUGGGACUGAGACACGGCCCAAACUCCUACAGGAGGCAGCAGUAGGGAAUCUUCGGCAAGGGACGAAAGUCUGACCGAGCAACGCCGCGUGAGUGAAGAAGGUUUUCGGAUCGUAAAACUCUGUUGGUAGAGAAGAACGUUGGUGAGAGUGGAAAGCUCAUCAAGUGACGGUAACUACCCAGAAAGGGACGGCUAACUACGUG